UCAGAUAUAGUGUAAAGGGUAACAUUGCUGUGCCUUUGUCGCAGUGGCAGUUAGGGGUUCAAUUCCCUCUAUCUGAA
rnacentral:tRNA from 1 species